rnacentral:rRNA from 1 species
AACGAACGCUGGCGGCGUGCCUAACACAUGCAAGUCGUGCGAGAAAGUUCCUUCGGGAGCGAGUAAAGCGGCGCACGGGUGAGUAACACGUAGGUAACCUGCCCCCCAGUCUGGAACAACUAGAGGAAACUCUAGCUAAUGCCGGAUGAGACCACGAUCCCUUCGGGGGUUGCGGCCAAAGAUGGCCUCUACUUGUAAGCUAUCGCUGAGGGAUGGGCCUGCGGGCCAUUAGCUUGUUGGUGAGGUAACGGCUCACCAAGGCUGUGAUGGCUAGCUGGUCUGAGAGGAUGACCAGCCACACUGGGACUGAGACACGGCCCAGACUCCUACGGGAGGCAGCAGUGGGGAAUAUGCGCAAUGGGCGAAAGCCUGACGCAGCGACGCCGCGUGGGUGAU